CCAUUCUGCAGAAUAAGGACCAGAACUUUACAGAGGUAAACUGUGUCUGUUCUUUUACUAUUACGGUUCAUCGUGGCCCUGUUGUUCGCCUCCUUCACCAAAGCUCUGUCAGGGACCUACAUGAAGAGUGCCAUCACUCAGAGAAACACUUUGACCUGUCCAGCUCUCUCAUCGGACUCAUAGACGGCAGCUUUGAGAUGGGUAACCUGCUGUUCCUGGCGGUGGUCAGCCAUUUGGGGGCGAAGCUGCCCAGGCUCAUUGCUAUGGGCUGUUUCUCAUGGCUGUAGGAUCCUUCCUCACAGGCCUGCCACACUUCUUCAUGGGAUGGUGCAGAGAAGAGACCAGAAGAUGAAGCAGUGGUUCCAACCAGUGUCUCCACUGCUCAAGGGCCCACUUAACUGCCAAAAGCUCCCAGUUGUAUACAUCGUAGUUGCCUUCCGCUGGCGAGACCUGCUUGGAGUGAAAGGAGCAUGGGUGCAGUUUCUUGUCCUCCUUGUUCCACUGUGAAAGGACCACACCAGCUCCGGUGUCCGGGGCGUCCACCUCUUACCACAAAGGGACGAGUAGGAUCAGGAUGAACGAGGAUGGGUUCGGAGGUGAAACGUCCCUUGAGCUCUAUGAAUGCCCUGUCAGCCUCGGGAUUCCUGCAAAAACCUGCUUGAGUGAGGUGGGACAGGGCCGUAAAUGUUCCGGAGGGGGUUUUGGAGAAGAUCGGGAUGUCGUCGAGGUGAACAAAGACGAACCGGUUCAACAUAUCCCUAAGAGUAUCAUUGAUCAAUGCCUGAAAGACUGCUGAUUUUAAGCGUUGCGGAGGUCCAGUUUGGUGAAGAAUUGGAUUCUUAGUGCCAACUCCGAGGCGGCGGACAUCGGGUUUGUUGAACAUGAGUGGAAAUGAAACUCCAGCACACUGGUAGCACUAAAGAUGUUCUGGCACUAAGUGUGACAACGUUCAGGUGGCUGGUCUGACCCUGUCCUAUAACGGGUCCCCUGGUGUACGAUGGCAGCCUGUUGUCAGAGUGUAACAGAGACUGCUCCUGCUUGGCUGGGAAGUGGGACCCUGUGUGUUCAGACAACGGCAUCACCUACACCCCCAGCCUCGCAGGCUGCUCCAGCUUUACAGGUUACGGCAAGAACACGGUACCAAUACUAUUAAUGUACUGAGAGUACAAAACAUUCACAGGGAUGCUGGCCCAUGUUGACUCCAAUGGCUCCCACAUUUGUGUCAAGUUGGCUGUAUGUCUUUUGGGUGGUGGACCAUUCUUGAU